rnacentral:rRNA from 1 species
AGCGGCGGAUGGGUGAGUAACACGUGGGGAACCUGCCCCAUAGUCUGGGAUACCACUUGGAAACAGGUGCUAAUACCGGAUAAUAAAAGCAGAUCGCAUGAUCAGCUUAUAAAAGGCGGCGUAAGCUGUCGCUAUGGGAUGGCCCCGCCGGUGCAUUAGCUAGUUGGUAAGGUAACGGCUUACCAAGGCAAUGAUGCAUAGCCGAGUCGAGAGACUGAUCGGCCACAAUGGAACUGAGACACGGUCCAUACUCC